rnacentral:misc_RNA from 1 species
GAAAAUGAAUCAAUUAGUCUCAAGUCUGAUUUAGUCAUAAUUCAAGUCAAUCAUUUUUUGACUAGUUUCAAUCAUGUUUCGAUUUUGACCAGGUCCCUAACUAUGUCUGCUAGCACAUACGUGAAAAUGUGAUCAAAUGGUCCAAAUAGCUAGCCCUACCCACUAAAAGCUUUUUUAGAAUUGCCAUUAGAAUUACAAUUAAAAAUAAUAUUUACUAGAUAAAU